rnacentral:rRNA from 1 species
AACGAACGCUGGCGGCAGGCCUAACACAUGCAAGUCGAGCGAGGACUUCGGUCCUAGCGGCGGACGGGUGAGUAACGCGUGGGAACGUGCCCUUUGCUUCGGAAUAGCCCUGGGAAACUGGGAGUAAUACCGGAUGAGCCCUUUGGGGGAAAGAUUGAUCGGCGAAGGAUCGGCCCGCGUUGGAUUAGGUAGUUGGUGGGGUAAUGGCCUACCAAGCCGACGAUCCAUAGCUGGUUUGAGAGGAUGAUCAGCCACACUGGGACUGAGACACGGCCCAGACUCCUACGGGAGGCAGCAGUGGGGAAUCUUAGACAAUGGGGGAAACCCUGAUCUAGCCAUGCCGCGUGAGCGAUGAAGGCCUUAGGGUUGUAAAGCUCUUUCAGCUGGGAAGAUAAUGACGUUACCAGCAGAAGAAGCCCCGGCUAACUCCGUG